UACGAGGGUGCGAGCGUUAAUCGGAAUUACUGGGCGUAAAGCGUGCGCAGGCGGUUUGUUAAGCGAGAUGUGAAAGCCCCGGGCUCAACCUGGGAACCGCAUUUCGAACUGGCAAACUAGAGUCUUGUAGAGGGGGGUAGAAUUCCAGGUGUAGCGGUGAAAUGCGUAGAGAUCUGGAGGAAUACCGGUGGCGAAGGCGGCCCCCUGGACAAAGACUGACGCUCAGGCACGAAAGCGUGGGGAGCAAACAGG
rnacentral:rRNA from 1 species